rnacentral:lncRNA from 1 species
GAACUUCCUUUUUGUUUAAUAUCUAAACAGCUCAGUAUUAAUUUUCAAAAGUGCUGAACCAAUGCAUGAGGGUACCUGCUAACGGUAGGGUCUCAAUAUGGGGAGAAAAAGGAGCCCUAAGUGUGUGAAGGUCAUUCUGUUGUUGCCUGGAUCUCGUUCAAUGUGUCUAUCUGCUCUAUUUAACUUUGCUACUCUAAUUCUUCUUUUUAUUCUUUCCAUAUUCAACAAUGAUUUCCAUUUAUGCCAGUUUAUUUGAUUCUCCAUUCCUCCCUAACCAUUCUCAACAAUAGUGCUUGAACACUGACAAAGAUAUGAAAAACGUUUUUGUUUUUUGUUUUUAUUUAUUAUUUUUAAUCUGCAUCCAAGUUAUUUAGCAUAUAGUGCAAUAAUGAUUUCAGGAUUAGAUUCCAGUGAUUCAUCCUCUACAUGUAACAUCCAGUGCUCAUCUCAACAAAUAUCCUUCUUGAUGCCCCUUGCCCAUUUAGCCCAUGACCCCACCCACAAUCCCUCCUAGCAACUCUCAGUUUGUUCUAUAUAUUUCAGAGUUUCUGUUGUUCUGUGCCCCUCCCUGUUUUUAUAUUAUUUUUGCUUCCCUUCCCUUAUGACCAUCUGUUUUGUAUCUUAAAUUCCACAUGUGAGUGAAGUCAUAUAUUUGUCUUUCUCUGACUAAUUUUCCUUAGCAUAAUAUAUUCUUUCCAUCCACGUUGUUGCAAAUGGCAAGAUUUCAUUAUUUUUUAUUGCCGAGUAAUACUCCAUUUUGUGUGUGUGUGUGUGUGUGUGUGUGUGUGUGUGUGUAUGUGUAUAUAUAUAUAUAUAUAUAUAUAUAUAUAUACACCCACACCUUCUUUAUCUAUUUGUUAGUCGAUGGACAUUUGGGCUCUUUCCAUAUUUUGGCUAUUGUCAAUAGUGCUGCUAUAAACAUUGGAGUACAUGUGACCCUUCAAAAUAGCACUCUAUAUCCUUUGGAUAAAUACCUAGUAGUGCAAUUGCUGGGUCGUAGGGUAUUUUUAUUUUUAAUUUUUUGAGUAACCUCCAUUCUGUUCUCCAGAAUGGCUGCACCAGUUUGCAUUCCCACCAGCAGUGCAAAGGGGUUUCUCUUUCUCUGCAUCCUUGACAACAUCUGUUGUUGCCAGAGUUGUUAAUUAUAGCUAUUCUGACAGGUGUGAGGUGGUAUCUCAUUGUGGUUUGAUUUGUAUUUCCCUGAUGAUAACUAUUAUUGAACAUUUUUUCACGUGUCUAUUAGCUAUCUGGAUGUCUUCUUUGGAAAAGUGUCUAUUCAUGUCUUUUGCCCAUUUCUUCACUGGGUCAUUUGUUUUUUGGGUAUUGAGUUUGAUGAUCUCUUUAUAGAUUUUGGAUACUAACCCUUUAUCUGAUGUGUCAUUUGCAAAAUCUUCUUCCAUUCUGUCAGUUGCGUUUAAGUUUUGCUGAUUGUUUCCUUCACCGUGCAGAAGUUUUUUUAUUUUGAUGAGGUCCCAACAGUUCAUUUUUGCUUUUGUUUCCCUUACCUCUGAAGACUUGUUGAGUAAGAAGUUGUUGCACCUGAGGUCAAAGAGGUUUUUGUCCACUUUCUCCUCGAGGAUUUUGAUGGUUUCCUGUCUUACAUUAAGGUCUUUCAUCCAUUUUGAGUUUAUUUUUGUGUAUGGUGUAAGAAAGUGGUCCAGGUUCAUUCUUCUGCACGUCGCUGUCCAGUUUCCCCAACACCAUUUGCUGAAGAGACUCUUUUUUUUAUUGGAUAUUGUUUCUUGCUUUGCCAAAGAUUAGUUGGCCAUGUUUGUGGGUCCAAUUUUGUGUUCUCUAGGAUAAUAAAGAUGUUAAGCCCACACUUUAUUAGAAACAUGUCUACCUUCUCUGUAUUUGUAGUUUAACUACAGAACUGUACUUUUUAUUUUACCAAUAGAAUUUUGAAAACUCUAGCCACUCAUGCUAAUCUAUUUUCUCACCUUAUUUUAUUUAUUUUUAUCCAUGUCUUAUUGACAAAAUGGGAAUGCACAAACUCCAAAGCAAGUGGUUCUUGUGGCAUUUUUCUUCCUUGCACAUCUUAAUUGUAACAAUUAUAUGUGUAUAUAAUUUUUUCCUCUAGCACAUUAAACAUAUUUAUCAAAUACUUGGGAACAAAAGGUAAUUGUAUAAUAUGUGGGUGUAUUAUUCCAAAUGGCUCCUAUUUUCCUAAUCAUCCAUUUCUAGUAAGGCAUUGUCAUUCGGAGCAAAUAAGUAUUUGGAUGACACAUAUGCAUUUUAGUCAGAUGAAGGGUGAUUGCUGUUUUGCCUGCCAGGAGAAAAAAUCAUAUUUAAAAAUAAAAUUGUAGCUAUCUCACAGGAUCCAGAAGAAAAGAACAACUCUACAAAAUAUUAAUAGGAGCAGAGAAGGUGAACAAAGCUAAUAUAAAUACCUACUCUGUUUAGUGAAUUGUGUAAGACACUGCAAAUAUCUUUCAUUUAUCAAAUAUCUGAGAGACAUCUAUCUAUAUAUAAUUCUCAUGACAUUGUCCCUCUACUUUAUUUUAUUUUUUAAGUUUAUUUAUUUAUUUUGGGAGAGAGUGAGUGACCAGGGGAAGGGAAGAGAGAGAGAGAGAGAGAGAAAGACAGAGAGAGAGAGAGAAUCCCAAGCAGGCUUCACACUGUCAGUGCAGAGCCUGAUGCAGGGCUUGAUCCCAUGAUCCAUGAGAUCAUGACCUGAGCUGAAACCAAGAGUUGGAUGCUUAACAGACUGAGCCACCCAGUCACCCCUAUCCUUCUGCUUUAAAUAUUAAGAAACAGUGGCACAAUUAAGUUAAAUCAUUUGCCUGAGGACACAUAAUGCAAUAUCAACAUAAAUUCACUUUUGUCUAACUCAGAGCCCUGACUUUCUCUACCACCUCCCCUUCCCCUGCAAUGAGAGGUUAUAGCUAAUCUUUGACAUGUUUCUAAUCUCAAUCUAGACACCUUCAGUCUAGUUAUUCAGGAAUCUUUACAACAAAUUACCAAUUGGUAAGGAGCCAGAUACAGUAGUAUUAAUUUACAUACUCAGUUUCUUUCUGUGUAGGUGUUUAUCUGUUAUAGGCCACAUCUUCUACCUGUUUUUCUUUUCCCUAACAUCAAGGCCAGAUAGAGUUUAUAUUUGGAGUCAUAUGGAAAAAUCACUUUUAAAUGAAGUCUCUACCUCUUAUAAGCUACAUGACCUUGGGCCAUUUACUGAUGUCUUUGAAUUUGUUUUGUAUAUACAGAAUGAUAGAAUCAUGAUACCUAUAUAAUACAAGGGUUCUUCAGAAGAUAAGAUGUAAUAACAUAUAGACAUUUCCUACUCAAUCCCUGUGCUCAAUUGGCAUGUAAUUUAUUUUACUUUCUUUCGUAUCCCUCUAAAUUCAGUUAUUAUAUCUUUGUGCAAAUGUGAAAUCCAAGGUGAUACUAUACAGAACUCUAUAGGAUUAGGGAGUAUUGAUGAAUUUCUUUGAUGGCAAAAUUAAAGCAAUCAGUAUCUGGUAUGAUAUCAUUUAGAGGAGUAUGGGCUACUUUUCAGGACACUCCUGUUAAAAACCAAAAUUCUGAGUUUAAUUGUCAGAACUGAAAUUCUCAGCAUUAACACGGACAACACUUAUAUCCACCAUUCCUAAAUUCAAAGGUACUAAGCCUGGGGUGGGCAGUUUCCAUAUGCAAGAUAGAUUUUUGUGCACUUGUAUAUAUAGUUAUUUUUAAGACUAUAUAUAUAUAUAUAUAUAUAUAUAUAUAUUUCAGGUUUUACCUGCUAUUUCUGAGAGUCUGCAUAAAUAUGUGAUGGUACUAUUCACGAACUCAACAAAUGGUGCAAUCAUUUUAAUAAUGACAUAUUUCAGCAAAAAUAAAUAUAAUUCAGAGAAAGUCUUUCAUGGGUAUUCUCCAGGAAACUGAAAAAAAUUUCUAUGAAGCAAGAUACUACUAUGGGAAGACUCUGUUGUCUGCACUGUGCUUUGGCAAGGCUUUGGGAUACAGUCAUUAAAUAGGUUGACUGUAAAUUUGUUUCACUGGUUAAUUAAAUCCAAGAGUUUGCAAGAA